rnacentral:rRNA from 1 species
AUGCAAGUCGAGCGGGGACGUUGCGACUGAGUUGAAGACUCGGUCGGAGAUGAAGAUGUAAAGUUCUAGCGGCGGACGGGUGAGUAACGCGUGAGCAACCUGUCCCUUACAGGGGGAUAACACAGCGAAAGUUGUACUAAUACCGCAUGAGACCACAGAGUGACAUCAGUUCAGGGGUCAAAGGAGCAAUCCGGUAAGGGGUGGGCUCGCGUCCGAUUAGAUAGUUGGUGAGGUAACGGCCCACCAAGUCGACGAUCGGUAGCCGACCUGAGAGGGUGAUCGGCCACAUUGGGACUGAGACACGGCCCAAACUCCUACGGGAGGCAGCAGUGGGGAAUAUUGGGCAAUGGGGGAAACCCUUGACCCAGCAACGCCGCGUGAGGGAAGAAGGUUUUCGGAUCGUAAACCUCUGUCCUUGGUGAAGAGGAAGAGACGGUAGCCAAGGAGGAAGCCCCGGCUAACUACGUGCCAGCAGCAGC